CCAAGGACGGAAAGAAGAUCAUCGAGCCAAAGGAAGAACACGGUGCCCCUGUCUCUGAGAACCACUGAGACUGAGUCAAAUUAUCCAUUUUUCGUGUUUUUCCACAAUUCGGGGCCAACGAUCUACAAAUUCUGUCAAGAAGAAUCACUGUGGUUUUGAACUGGUCAAUGAAAACACCCUGGAUGUUCCAGAGAUGGGAGUUGCACCCAUUGGAUGUCAGUCCUGGAGUUGAAAGAACUUGUUAAGCAGAAGAGACGAACCUCAGUCACUGGUAUCAAAGCAGUGGCUCAAAACGUCCAGGAGCGCCUCCUACACUCCAAAAGACCUCAGCUUCCUCAGCAGCAUGCAAAUCGUCAGAGGAGCGACACUGAAAAGCUGUCAUAAAGAAGUGGAGAGGACAAGACAGUAUAAAGAUGGUCAUCUUUGUGUCUGAGCGACACCACAUCCUCUUCUUCUCAACAGACUGACUGCUGCUGGACAAUCAAAGCUAAAGAAAUGAGC